rnacentral:rRNA from 1 species
AGAGUUUGAUCCUGGCUCAGGACGAACGCUGGCGGCGUGCUUAACACAUGCAAGUCGAACGGAAAGGCCCUGCUUUUGUGGGGUGCUCGAGUGGCGAACGGGUGAGUAACACGUGAGUAACCUGCCCUUGACUUUGGGAUAACUUCAGGAAACUGGGGCUAAUACCGGAUAGGAGCUCCUGCUGCAUGGUGGGGGUUGGAAAGUUUCGGCGGUUGGGGAUGGACUCGCGGCUUAUCAGCUUGUUGGUGGGGUAGUGGCUUACCAAGGCUUUGACGGGUAGCCGGCCUGAGAGGGUGACCGGCCACAUUGGGACUGAGAUACGGCCCAGACUCCUACGGGAGGCAGCAGUGGGGAAUAUUGCACAAUGGGCGGAAGCCUGAUGCAGCAACGCCGCGUGCGGGAUGACGGCCUUCGGGUUGUAAACCGCUUUCGCCUGUGACGAAGCGUGAGUGACGGUAAUGGGUAAAGAAGCACCGG